UCCCCCUCUUCCCUGAUGGCAGGUGUGAGUCCGUAUCUCUCCACAGAAUCCCAAAUAAACGCCACGGUUUCUCCAGGAAUGUAUCCAGCCACGUUAACUGGACUCUCGGUCGGGAUUGCCGGUGGGUUACUCGUCGUCAUCGUUGUAGUUCUGGUUUUUGUCCAAAGGAGGAGAAAGAAAAAAGGGCCAAAUGUUCCAGGAAAUUCUAACAGCACGUGGAAUGACUUACACGGGCAGCAUACGAGACACAGUGAAGAACUGAGCCACCAUGUUACCACUCAAGGCGAGAAUAUACUGACACAAAUGCACCCGAGCACUCGUGACGAAGCUAGGAAUUCCGACAGCUCAACAUUCUCCUGGAUGUACUCAAACCACAAAAUUGCCAAAAACAUCAGUGACAAUCAAGAAAUAGCCCAAGGCGGUUUCCCUGGAGAGUAUAACACAUUGUAUGCCAUGGGUAAAGUUUCCACCAAUCAAAACUGUUUAAGUUUUCAGCCCGGCUCAACAGGAAGUGAGCAUUUUAAGCGCAUGGAAGGAGAUACGUGUGAGUUUGAUGCCGAUGGUUACUGUCUGGCUGGACAAAUUUACGGAGAACAACAGGGUUAUGUGUCAAAUAACACUCAACCAUCUGAUAGACCCUACGAUAUACUUAAUAUAUCCAAAGUUUAAGACUGCACUGUUAAACUUAUAGGGUUUACUUGCAAUAGAAAAAAUCAUUUAAAAAUAUGUGACCAAAAUCCACUGGCUACAGACGUAAAAUAGGUGUGGUAUAUGGAGCAAAUAAAGCUGAGAUUCUCUACCGGAACGUGGAGGAGUCAUAAUAUUCUAAAGCGUCUAUAUUAUGGAAGGAACUCUCAAACAUUUUAUUUAUUAAAAUCAAACAGUGAACUAAAUGCAUGUCAUGAAUCAAAAUUUUGCAGUAACUUAGAGAUAAUUGGUAAAUAUUUUGUUUCUGUUAAUUACCUGCGCUAACAAGGCUGUUUUGUUUGUCGGCAAUUAUUUGUCUGUCUGUUUGUCCAUCCGUCUAUUUGCUAGAGAAAAUAUUAUGCGAGGAAUCGAAAAAAAAAAUUAGUGAACAGCAGGGCCGAGGACCAAUCUCUAACAUGUUUAAUCGAUACUGAUCCCGACCUCAGUAUGUGGAUUGUUUUUCAUUAGAUACAUUCAGCACAAAGAUUAAAUGUAUUGUCUUCUUGUGUUGCACAGCGGAGUCUGUGCCCUUCGUGUAACUUCUGGAUGUUUUUCUAUUGAUAUAAAUAUAUUUGCAAUAAAUUUUGUUGAAAGCAUCCCGUUAUAAGUACACAUGCACAGCAGUAUUCAGGCUGUCUGUCUUAUAGGGGAUUCAGCAAAAUUACGUUGUACCUGCUAGUUGUUUAAUAUUACGUACCCACUCAAAAGUCUAAGACUUGCUUAACAUUUUUAAAAACAUUUUUGUGAAUAUGUAUAAAUCUUUUUCUUUCCUGUUUUUAUCCUGCUACUUUUUUAAACUACAGUAUUUUCCUUUUUUUCUUUUUUUUUUGUUGGUAAUUUUGGGGGUAUUUCGUAUUUUAGCUUUCUUUUGUAUAUUCGAAACAUAAUAUAAUUCUGCUUGCGUAUAUAUAAAGUUUGAUACGUUGCCUUUGAAAUCAGUAGCAUUAUUUCAUCGCUUUUUCUAUAUGAUAACAUUGUAUUAGUGCGCGUGUGUUCGACUAAUCCCUAUCUGGCACAUGUAAAUACAAACAACUGAUUUUGUGAUAACAUAUCGUCAGUAUCAUAACCCUAAAAUAUUGUCACUUAUCAUUUGGUACACACUUCACUACAUUUUGUUUUUAGUAUUAAAACCCGUUCUUUUUCUUUGGUAAAGAUUUUCUUUUUAAAUUAAGAUGUUC